CCUACGGGUGGCAGCAGUGGGGAAUAUUGGACAAUGGGGGCAACCCUGAUCCAGCCAUGCCGCGUGUGUGAAGAAGGCCCUCGGGUUGUAAAGCACUUUCAGUGAGGAAGAACGCCUGGUGGUUAAUACCCAUCAGGAAAGACAUCACUCACAGAAGAAGCACCGGCUAACUCCGUGCCAGCAGCCGCGGUAAUACGGAGGGUGCGAGUGUUAAUCGGAAUUACUGGGCGUAAAGCGCGCGUAGGUGGCUUGAUAAGCCGGUUGUGAAAGCCCCGGGCUCAACCUGGGAACGGCAUCCGGAACUGUCAAGCUAGAGUGCAGGAGAGGAAGGUAGAAUUCCCGGUGUAGCGGUGAAAUGCGUAGAGAUCGGGAGGAAUACCAGUGGCGAAGGCGGCCUUCUGGACUGACACUGACACUGAGGUGCGAAAGCGUGGGUAGCAAACAGGAUUAGAUACCCUGGUAGUC
rnacentral:rRNA from 1 species